AGGUCUCUUGGCUUUGCCAGGGCCCACCGGAGAAAACUGAGGCCCCGUUUCUAUAAUCCUUAUGGGAGACCAACCUUGUGCCUCCGGGAGAUCCACUCUCCCACCUGGAAACGCACGGGAAGCCAAGCCUCCAAAAAAGCGCUGCCUCCUCGCUCCGCGUUGGGAUUAUCCGGAAGGAACUCCCAACGGAGGUAGUACCACUCUACCCUCCGCACCUCCUCCUGCAUCAGCCGGCCUGAAGUCGCACCCUCCUCCUCCGGAGAAGUAGAGAAAUAAAUUUCUCCCACCGUAAACCAGUCUUUGAGCGAUUGCAGUAUGACUCCAUUUCCCUGGUGCAUUCAUAUAAUAGUUCACCUGGUGAAAAUAAUGAAGAUUAUUUACAAUGCUACCCUGCUUUUUCUGAUGUCCUGCACCUGGAAGUUGUGCUUUUUAAGGUCUGCUGGAAUUUUCUGGAGGUCCACUCCAGACCCUGUUUGCCUGGGUAUCACUAGUGGAGGCUGCAGACCAGCAAAGAUUGCUGCCUGUUCUUUCCUCUGGAACCUUUGUCCCAAAAGGACACCUGCCAGAUGCCAGCCAGAGCUCUUCUGUAUGAGUCUUAUGAACAAGCAUGAUUUCACUUCCUGAAUUUCGAUGAAUUAUAAGACAUGGGCAAGAUCGGGUUGUAAGACCUCUGCGAUUUAAGGCCAUGGCCUGGAUCAUGGUGAACUUACCAAAGCAAAUAAUGCCUGUGAGAUGGUACUGCAGCAGCCAACCAGUGCGCUCUUUUGGUGACAUCCAGUUCUUGUUGUAUAACUUUAUAUUCCUAUAAAUCCAUUAAGGCCCCAAUAAAGUUUGUCUCUAA
rnacentral:lncRNA from 1 species